CAGCGCCACGAGUGGGAACUACAAUUAUUGGGCCUAAAGCGUCCGUAGCCGGUUUAGUAAAUUUCUUGUGAAAUUGUUGGGCUUAACUUAACAACGUGCAGGAAAGACUGCUAAACUUGGGACUGGGAGGAGUUAGAAGUAUUUCUGGGGUAGCGGUAAAAUGUUAUAAUCCCAAAGAGACUACCUAUGGCGAAAGCAUCUAACUAGAACAGGUCCGACGGUGAGGGACGAAAGCUAGGGGAGCAAAACGGAUUAGAUACCCGAGUAGUCC
rnacentral:rRNA from 1 species